rnacentral:rRNA from 1 species
UGAGGAAUAUUGGUCAAUGGGCGAGAGCCUGAACCAGCCAAGUAGCGUGCAGGAUGACGGCCCUAUGGGUUGUAAACUGCUUUUAUGUGGGGAUAAAGUGCGUGACGUGUCAUGCAUUGCAGGUACCACAUGAAUAAGGACCGGCUAAUUCCGUGCCAGCAGCCGCGGUAAUACGGAAGGUCCGGGCGUUAUCCGGAUUUAUUGGGUUUAAAGGGAGCGUAGGCUGUCUAUUAAGCGUGUUGUGAAAUUUACCGGCUCAACCGGUGGCUUGCAGCGCGAACUGGUCGACUUGAGUAUGCAGGAAGUAGGCGGAAUUCAUGGUGUAGCGGUGAAAUGCUUAGAUAUCAUGACGAACUCCGAUUGCGCAGGCAGCUUACUGUAGCAUGACUGACGCUGAUGCUCGAAAGUGCGGGUAUCAAACAGG